rnacentral:rRNA from 1 species
UUUGUGCCUUCGGGAACUGUGAGACAGGUGCUGCAUGGCUGUCGUCAGCUCGUGUUGUGAAAUGUUGGGUUAAGUCCCGCAACGAGCGCAACCCUUAUCCUUUGUUGCCAGCGAUUAGGUCGGGAACUCAAAGGAGACUGCCAGUGAUAAACUGGAGGAAGGUGGGGAUGACGUCAAGUCAUCAUGGCCCUUACGACCAGGGCUACACACGUGCUACAAUGGCGCAUACAAAGAGAAGCGACCUCGCGAGAGCAAGCGGACCUCAUAAAGUGCGUCGUAGUCCGGAUUGGAGUCUGCAACUCGACUCCAUGAAGUCGGAAUCGCUAGUAAUCGUGGAUCAGAAUGCCACGGUGAAUACGUUCCCGGGCCUUGUACACACCGCCCGUCACACCAUGGGAGUGGGUUGCAAAAGAAGUAGGUAGCUUAACCUUCGGGAGGGCGCUUACCACUUUGUGAUUCAUGACUGGGGUGAAGUCGUAACAAGGUAACCGUAGGGGAACCUGCGGUUGGAUCACCUCCUUACCUUAAAGAAGC